UAGUACCGUGAGGGAAAGGUGAAAAGAACCCCGGGAGGGGAGUGAAAUAGAACCUGAAACCGUGUGCCUACAACCGGUCAAAGCCCCAUAUGAGGGUGAUGACGUGCUUUUUGUAGAACGAGCCAACGAGUUACGGUAUGUAGCAAGGUUAAGUACUUAAGGUACGGAGCCGAAGGGAAACCGAGUCUUAAUAGGGCGACUAGUUGCAUGCCGUAGACCCGAAACCGGGUGACCUAUCCAUGGCCAGGUUGAAGCGAGGGUAAAACUUCGUGGAGGACCGAACCACGUUGCUGUUGAAAAAGCAUGGGAUGAGCUGUGGAUAGCGGAGAAAUUCCAAUCGAACUCGGAGAUAGCUGGUUCUCCCCGAAAUAGCUUUAGGGCUAGCGUCGGAUAUGUGUAGUGGAGGUAGAGCACUGAAUGGGCUAGGGGGCAUAGCGCUUACCGAACCUUAUCAAACUCCGAAUGCCACAUACAUUAAGUCCGGCAGUCAGACUACGAAUGAUAAGAUCCGUGGUCAAAAGGGAAACAGCCCAGAUCGUCAGCUAAGGUCCCAAAGUGUAAGUUAAGUGGAAAAGGAUGUGGGAUUUCUAAGACAACUAGGAUGUUGGCUUAGAAGCAGCCACUCAUUUAAAGAGUGCGUAAUAGCUCACUAGUCGAGAGAUCCUGCGCCGAAAAUGUCCGGGGCUCAAACUUACCACCGAAGCUACGGGCUUGCAUUAGCAAGCGGUAGGGGAGCGUCGUAAUCGGGCUGAAGUCGUACCGUAAGGAGCGGUGGACUGAUUACGAGUGAGAAUGUUGGCAUUAGUAGCGAGAUGUAGGUGAGAAUCCUACAGGCCGAAUAUCUAAGGUUUCCUCAGGAAGGCUCGUCCGCUGAGGGUUAGUCGGGACCUAAGCCGAGGCCGAAAGGCGUAGGCGAUGGACAAUCGGUUGAUAUUCCGAUACCACUACCAUCGUUAUUAUCGAGGGUGUGACGGAGAAGGAUAGUGUGUGCUAGCGAUUGGAAAUGCUAGUCUAAGCGUUUAGGGAGUUACGGUAGGCAAAUCCGCUGUAACAAUUCUGAGGCGUGAUGGGGAAGGCCAUAUAGGCCGAAGUACAUGAUUCCAUGCUUCCAAGAAAAGCAUCUAGAGAGAGAAGUAGUGCCCGUACCGCAAACCGACACAGGUAGAUGAGGAGAGAAUCCUAAGGCCGGCGGAAGAAUUGCAGUUAAGGAACUAGGCAAAUUGACCCCGUAAGUUCGCGAGAAGGGGUGCCUGCGAGAGCAGGCCGCAGAGAAUAGGCCCAAGCAACUGUUUAGCAAAAACACAGGUCUCUGCUAAAGCGCAAGCUGAUGUAUAGGGGCUGACGCCUGCCCGGUGCUGGAAGGUUAAGGGGAACACUUAGCGCAAGCGAAGGUGUGAACUUAAGCCCCAGUAAACGGCGGCCGUAACUAUAACGGUCCUAAGGUAGCGAAAUUCCUUGUCAGGUAAGUUCUGACCCGCACGAAUGGCGUAAUGACUUGGGCACUGUCUCAACUGCAAAUCCGGCGAAGUUGUAGUGCGAGUGAAGAUGCUCGCUACCCGCGAUUGGACGGAAAGACCCCGUAGAGCUUUACUGCAGCUUAGCAUUGAAUUCCGGUAUUGUCUGUACAGGAUAGGUGGGAGACUGGGAAACUAGGGCGUCAGCCUUAGUGGAGUCAACCUUGGGAUACCACCCUGACAGUACUGGGGUUCUAACAGGACGCCAUGAAUCUGGUGACUGGACAUUGUUAGGUGGGCAGUUUGACUGGGGCGGUCGCCUCCUAAAAAGUAACGGAGGCGCCCAAAGGUUCCCUCAGAACGGUCGGAAAUCGUUCGUAGAGUGCAAAGGCAUAAGGGAGCCUGACUGCGAGACCUACAAGUCGAGCAGGGACGAAAGUCGGGCUUAGUGAUCCGGUGGUACCUCGUGGGAGGGCCAUCGCUCAACGGAUAAAAGCUACCUCGGGGAUAACAGGCUGAUCUCCCCCAAGAGUCCACAU
rnacentral:rRNA from 1 species